rnacentral:rRNA from 1 species
AGAGUUUGAUCCUGGCUCAGGAUGAACGCUAGCGGCAGGCUUAACACAUGCAAGUCGAGGGGCAGCAUAAACAUUGCUUGCAAUGUUUGAUGGCGACCGGCGCACGGGUGCGUAGCGCGUAUGUAACCUACCUCAAACAGGGGCAUAACACUGAGAAAUUGGUACUAAUUCCCCAUAACACCUGAGAGGGCAUCCUUUUGGGUUGAAAGUUCCGGCGGUUUGAGAUGGACAUGCGUUGUAUUAGCUAGUUGGUGAGGUAACGGCUCACCAAGGCGACGAUACAUAGGGGGACUGAGAGGUUAACCCCCCACAUUGGUACUGAGACACGGACCAAACUCCUACGGGAGGCAGCAGUGAGGAAUAUUGGUCAAUGGACGCAAGUCUGAACCAGCCAUGCCGCGUGCAGGAUGACGGCUCUAUGAGUUGUAAACUGCUUUUGUAUGAGGGUAAUAUCAGGUACGUGUACCUGCUUGAAGGUAUCAUACGAAUAAGGAUCGGCUAACUCCGUGCCAGCAGCCGCGGU